AUCACCUGUGUGGGCCAAGCUAAAUGUUUGUCAGGGUUAUAGCCAAACCUGAACUUUGUCAUCCAAGGAUAAAUAGUUGUGCUUUUCUACCCUGGAAAGUGGACUGCAAAGCAAAGGAAAGGGCCAAACUAGCAUGGAGUUCUCAGUACUCUAUGUCCAUGCUUUUAACAUGAACACUGGCAUGGAUUGAAGGUAUGUUUGCUGUGAGAGUUCAAAUCUGAGCUCUGAGCCAUAAUUCUUCUCUAGGCAGCAGCAGCAGUACCAGGACUCCCUUUCAAAGACCAGUUCCCCCCCACCCCAUUACCAUGCUCUAACCAGCUGCCUAAAAUUUGCUUUAUAGUCAUCUCCUGGUAGAACCAACACACCCAAGGUGUUGAAUACCUGUGAAGAUUUAGGUUAAAGGGUUAUAAAAUUGGAUAUCAAGUGAAAGUUGAAGAUGUGAACAGGGUGUUACUGUCUGCAGAAAGCAGCAUGAAACCAGGGGAAUUGCAUAGGACUUUCUCUUCAAUUUUUUCUUAUUCCUGUGUUGUUCCCAGGGCAAGAUGUGGCCUGUUGUCACAGCUUUAGCUGUCAUGAUGAAUGCCUGCUUGCUGCACCUGGAGUGGAGUUAGUGAGGGAGCUAAUACAGCUUUGCUACUUCCAUACACAUAAAUAACUGAGAUGGGGUUCUGCAUCUGCUUGUCUAUCAGAAACACUCAAACUCCCCCCAACAAAUGUCCACCCCUUUCUCUCCCUGAAGCAAGACCUGCGACAAGCACCAGGAAACGAUCCUUGCAUUAAACACUUCAUCCUCAUUUAAAAUAAGUACAUCCAGAGCAAUCCUCUCUUUUCCACAAAAAUGACAUGGCCUGCCAGCAGGAAGAAAUGUCAGUGCUGGAAUGCAUACAACCAUGCUUUUCCUGGAACACUGCUUGUUCUCCUGGACCACUGAACUCUGGGUUAGCAGCUGUGGCAGUGCGGAUGAACCAGCUCCACAAGGAUAAGUGACAACCAAGGGACAACCCAGAGCUUGGCUUGCCAUGCAGGGUGGAUGGUGGACACAUUAAGGUGUUUGAGAAAGAGCCCCACCAGUAGAAGGACACUACAGCAGAAUAAGGAGCAUCUGCUGGAAAUGUAGAAGGAGAAAACCUAGAUAUAUCAGUGAAUUCCAGGAUGACUGCAUUACCAGUCAUGAGCACCAGGGAAGGAAGAUAUUUUACAAUGCAGCAAAGUCAUCCCAGAGAAGGGAAGGAAGCAUUAACGCUAUUUGCACAAAAGGUUUGAAUCCUGUGAGCAUUGGCUGCCCCAGAAAAAUGAAUUCAAAGUGAAAUAGAUCCAAGGAAGGCUCAUCGUUGCAGCCAGAAGUAUAAAAUCCUUACAUUACUGCAAAUGAAGUGAUGUUAACGUAGUUAGCCUAAAAAUGAAAACACAGGUAAAAUUUUUGUCUAUAAAUUAAUGUGGAACGCUGAGAAAGGACAACAGUUACUGAAUGUAAGAAGAAUGUUUGAACAAGAACAGAUGGAGGCAAAAUGAAUAGGAGCACCUUUAGGUUGGAAAUUAAAAACUUAGUGCUAAGCCUCAGAGCAAAGGUGUUUUGAAACAAACCUCCUGAUAGGAUUAUCAAGAGGCAUAAAAUCAAACUAUUUAAUCAGGUUUUGCAUGGGAUUAUGUAGCGUGCCACUGAGAUUAGCUCAGUUGGUUAGAGCAUGGUGUUAAUAAUGCCAAGGUUGUGGUUUCCACCCCUGUAUGGGCCAUUCACUGAAGAGCUGGACUUGAUGAUCCUUGUGGGUCUCUUCCCCAAUUCUGUAUGGUUCCUGGAUACAGGAAUUUUGAAUCUUAUAAACUGGUCACUAAGUCCUUAGAGUACAUUAUUAUAAUUUUUUACACAAGUCCUGCACUAGAAAAAUCAUGAUGCAAUCAUAAGUAAUACAUAGAUUAGCUAGUUUCCCCUGCUUAUGUAAAUUGGUCCUUGAAUACAGUUGGUGUAACAUAACAGUAAUUUAUGGAAGUGCUUUUGUUCUAAGUCUUAAGAAGGUGCCAGAGUCUCCUUCAUCAGCUUAUUGCUGCAGGCAUGAUUCUCUUCUAAUUCUUGCUGUUUCACACCUAUGCAAUUCAAUUUUCUUAAGUGAAGUUAACUCUUGAUUUAUACUGGUAAAAAUCAGAUCCAAUUUUUUUUCCUUUCAUAGCUGGGGCAGGUUUAUUUUAAUAAUUAACAUGAAAAUCCUAAUAGUAUCACUGUGAGGAUGUGUUUAGAGGCAUCAGUCAAGACAGGAUCUUGUUCCACCAGACUUUUCACAAACUUCUACCAAAAACUAUUUAGCAGUAUGACAAUUUUAUAAUCUGAAUAGAUUGGUAUUUUAAAAAAGAAAAACUGGAAACUAAGCCUGAGAGAAAGAUGUUUUCUCCAAGGUCAAAAAGCUGAUCAGUGGCAGAUGAAAAAGUAUCUGUCACCAAGUGCUCUAAGUGUACACGUAUUCUUUGCAGCCAGUGUGAGAAAAGGCAGGCUCAGGUCAAAAAGGAGCUGCAGCAAAGAUAAAUAUAGCUAUAGAAUACAUUUGUAACUGAACAAGUAUGCAUGAUUUCCAUUUGGAAUUUUCUUUCAAAACCAGCUGAAGCCUCUGGGACAAAACCCCGAAUGAAUACCGUAUUUUUUAAAAUAGUAAAUUAAUUAACCUUGAUUCAUACACGAUUUUCUUCCUACUGAAUUGUUUAUAAAAGGACAUCUUGUCAAUAGUGUAAAACUUGGCUUGAUACUUCAUGAAAAAGAAUUCACCUUUACAGCUUUGACAGGUUGUACCACUCUUUUUAAAUCCUACUUUGGAGUUAUCACAGUUACGGUGGGGUCCUGGCAUUACUGUAGUUGUAAAUCACAGGCUUUCCUCAAGAAUCCUCUUCUGGGCUUGCAGAACCCCAGAAUCUCUUUCCUUCUCCAAAGCUGCCCAAUGCUUCCUCUGUAAAUGGAAAUUCUGAUUUCCUGCAGGGUAGGGCAUGGAGUGUGGGAGGCAGAGAGGGGAUCCAGGUCCCCUUCUGCUGGUGAAGUGUCCUCUGGUAACAUCUUGUAUUAACUGCGCCAUGGAAAUGAGAACCAAAUCUCCAGCAUGGGAAAGGCACCCAGAGCUCAUUCCCAGCCUUGUCACCAGCUAGUGUGAAACCUCUGUGCUCUCAGACCACAGAGCACAUUCAAAGCUCUCUGCUGUCUGUGGCAGAUGAAAAUUGUUGCCUUUCCCUUCCACCAUCCCAGAGCUCGCAUGUUUGGCAAUCCCACCACACGACCACCUCUGUCACAAGCAGGCUUGGGUUCUGUUCACAACCCCCACAUCCUCUGUAAGCUGGCAGAACACUGUCUGCGGAGGGUGCGUAACAUCAGCAUCAACUGCGAGACAGCAGACAAUGCCAGGCACAAAAUAAGGGAAAGGCUCAUGACAGAGGGUAAAUUUGAAAGGACUGUAACACACAUGUCACAUGCCUCAGCCUGUUCACAGCACACAUAUGUAUGCACAACCAGAAUGCAUCACAUGGGGCAAAACACCUGAUGGCCUGCUAAAUUCAGCACUCUGCUGAGCCUGUUACUUUCUGCAAACUGAUUAAUCUAAUUCUUGGCCUACCAUUAAUAGCAUUUGUUUACACAGUCCACCACUCUCCCUGAUCCUAUCACAAUCUGCCUAUUUACUAACCUACCUGGUAAGUAACUAACUUGACCAGUGCCCACCAAAUGAGGAACUUUUGCUUAAAAUGGCAAACAAAACAUAUGAAUCUUGCAGAUUUAUGUUCAGGAUUUUGACUGUGUAAAUCUAAAACUUGAUGAAGAUGCAAACCUCCAUGAAAACAGAGAUGUUACAUAUAUUAAUAUUAUAUAAAUUAAGUAUUGCCGAUAUUCUUAGGUGAUGUACAUGGAGUGGGAAAAGUGAAAGCAGAAUGCAGGCUUUGUGCAAAAUUAGACAUUGAUUUUUUUUAAA